rnacentral:rRNA from 1 species
GAUCUGCCCGAUAGAGGGGGAUAACUACUGGAAACGGUGGCUAAUACCGCAUAAUGUCUACGGACCAAAGCAGGGGCUCUUCGGACCUUGCACUAUCGGAUGAACCCAUAUGGGAUUAGCUAGUAGGUGGGGUAAAGGCCCACCUAGGCGACGAUCUCUAGCUGGUCUGAGAGGAUGAUCAGCCACACUGGGACUGAGACACGGCCCAGACUCCUACGGGAGGCAGCAGUGGGGAAUAUUGCACAAUGGGCGCAAGCCUGAUGCAGCCAUGCCGCGUGUGUGAAGAAGGCCUUCGGGUUGUAAAGCACUUUCAGUUGUGAGGAAAGGUUAGUAGUUAAUACCUGCUAGCUGUGACGUUAGCAACAGAAGAAGCACCGGCUAACUCCGUGCCAGCAGCCGCGGUAAUACGGAGGGUGCGAGCGUUAAUCGGAAUUACUGGGCGUAAAGCGUACGCAGGCGGUUGAUUAAGCGAGAUGUGAAAGCCCCGGGCUCAACCUGGGAACUGCAUUUCGAACUGGUCAACUAGAGUGUGAUAGAGGG